rfam:Schistosoma mattheei strain Denwood, Zambia genome assembly, scaffold: SMTD_scaffold0004226
AUCCAGCCAACGAGUCCUAAAUAGGACGAAACGUGUGUCCUGGAU